rnacentral:rRNA from 1 species
AUUGAACGCUGGCGGCAUGCCUAACACAUGCUAGUCGCACGAGUGGCGGACGUGUUAGUAAUGUCUGGGAAACUGACUGAUGGAGGGGGAUAACUACUGGGAACGGUAGCUAAUACCGCAUACCAUCAGAUGUUCCCACAGUGGAUUAGCUAGUAGGUGGGGUAAAGGCUCACCUAGGAGACGAGCCCUAGCUGGUCUGAGAGGAUGACCAGCCACACUGGAACUGAGACACGGUCCAGAGUCCUACGGGAGGCAGCAGUGGGGAAUAUUUCACAAUGGUCGCAAGCCUGAUGCAGCCAUGCCGCGUGUAUGAAGAAGGCCUUCGGGUUUUAAAGUACUUUCAGCAGGGAGGCGUGACCCGCAGAAGAAGCACCGGCUAACGCCGUGCCAGCAGCCGCGGUAAUUC